GCCUGAGAUUGAUAUCUGCCAUUUCUGCCUUCACUAGGGUAUCAGGUAAUGAGAACUGGUAAAGGAUUUGGUGAUGUCGGAAUAAAUGCCUUUCAUAAUACUAAGAACUGUCAGAGUGUUUAAAAAAUUGACCAUGGUACAUUGUUGCCAGUGAGAACUUUCUUGUGGAAUGUGAUGAGCAAGUGGAUAUCAACUCAUAUCAACAUCGUGAAAUGCUGCACUGUUGGUCACCAAAAAGAGGUGAUACAUCACACCAGAGAUGGAUGAAGUUAUUUGCACCAUUUCCAAUGCCAAGGAAACAGAGAGGGUACCUAUGGCUAUUACUUCAAAGCUAUAAACCUUGUGUCUUUGCCCCCAGUAGAAUAUACUCUAAAUUGGUCAGGGUCAAAAGGAUUCAAGAAAACCAUGAGAAAAGCUGAAGGGAAAAAAACCUUCCCAGAUCAUUGUUGGACACACACACACACACACACACACACACACUUGAGUGUUAACAGAGAAGGAACUCAAGGAUCCUAGUGAUAUCACUUGGAUCAUAUAAAACCAGAACCAUCCUGAGCCAAAGACCUUCCUGCUUGCUACUUUUACAUUGGGUGAUGGAUAGGGGCUAUGAACUUCCACUUGCUCCAGUGGUUUCUCUAAGAUAGCCUGCAUUUGAGAAUUGAAAGAAGAUACAGACAUUUACCUUACUGGCCACCCU